GACGAACGCUGGCGGCGUGCCUAAUACAUGCAAGUUGAGCGCUGAAGGUUGGUACUUGUACCAACUGGAUGAGCAGCGAACGGGUGAGUAACGCGUGGGGAAUCUGCCUUUGAGCGGGGGACAACAUUUUGAAACGAAUGCUAAUACCGCAUAAAAACUUUAAACACAAGUUUUAAGUUUGAAAGAUGCAAUUGCAUCACUCAAAGAUGAUCCCGCGUUGUAUUAGCUAGGUGGUGAGGUAAAGGCUCACCAAGGCGAUGAUACAUAGCCGACCUGAGAGGGUGGUCGGCCACAUUGGGACUGAGACACGGCCCAAACUCCUGCGGGAGGCAGCAGUAGGGAAUCUUCGGCAAUGGACGAAAGUCUGACCGAGCAACGCCGCGUGAGUGAAGAAGGUUUUCGGAUCGUAAAACUCUGUUGGUAGAGAAGAGCGUUGGUGAGAGUGGAAAGCUCAUCAAGUGACGGUAACUACCCAGAAAGGGACGGCUAACUACGUG
rnacentral:rRNA from 1 species